UACGGAGGGAGCAAGCGUUACUCGGAAUUAUUGGGCGUAAAGGGCGCGUAGGCGCUUUGAAAAGUCUUGUGUGAAAGCCCCGGGCUUAACCCGGGAAGUGCACAAGAAACUGUUGAAUUUGAGUUCCGGAGAGGCAAGGGGAAUUCCACGUGUAGCGGUGAAAUGCGUAGAGAUGUGGAGGAACACCUGUGGCGAAGGCGCCUUGCUGGCCGAUUUCUGACGCUGAGGCGCGAAAGCGUGGGGAGCAAACAGG
rnacentral:rRNA from 1 species